GGUGGCCACCGAACAGAAAGUUAAACUGCAAUAUACUAUAAUCUUUUUAGUUCAUGUUUACAUUUUUAACUGAUACAUUAUGAAUAUAAAAUUUCAAAUUAAUUUAAAUUCAAAAAUAAAAGAACACCAACAUAGAUUUCUUAAACAUUAAAAUUUUACUAUAAAUUUAAAUUACAUUUAAUCAACACAUUAGUUGAAGUUUUAUAGGAACCGAACAUUUGGCUGGAUCAUGGACUACCCACCGACGGAGAAUUUGUCAUUGAGCUGAAGGAAAAUGUGUCAGCACUCGGCUUCGUUUCAACCCGGAGGAAGAUUGGCAGCAUCAAUAAGAAGCUCAUCUUAAUGUCAACUGUCCAAAUGAAGAAGAAUUUGUCAUUGAGCUGAUGGAAAAUGUGUCAGCACUCGGCUGUAUUUCAACACGGAGGACGUCUAGCAGCAGCAAAAAGAAAUUCAACUGAUAAUCAACUGUCCAAAGGAUUUUGAAGAAGAAUUUGUCACAAAGCUGAUGGGAAAUGUGUCGGCACUCGGCUUCGUUUCAACCCGGAGGAAGAUUGGCAGCAUCAAAAAGAAGCUCAUCUUAAUUUAGUUGUCCCCCCCUUUACGCAUUAGCGCUCAUCUCUCAUCCACUCAUCCAACACAUUGACUACGCCGGCCGGCAACACACAUAUAUUAUACACAUUACCCGUUUUAUAUUAUAUAAUAUUAUUAAUACCUACAUAGUUUAAGUUAUUGUAUAUUUUUUUUUUAUUAUUUGAAUGCAUUCAUAUGAUCAGUUGUGUAUUUAGGAAUUUUAGGAUAAGAGCAACACAUAUUUUGCCGCCUUCCCCCCAUUAAAAAAAAAUUAAAAAACUUCUACGCCGCGCAAUAGUGGUCAAACUGUUAAUACCAUAGAAUACCAUGUUAUAUAAAUACUAUAGUAUUUUAUACCUCUAUGGCACACAUGUGUUGUGAAAAUUAUUAAUGAUUGACGUCACUGCGCCAGUACUCAUAAAAUACGAAACAAAAAUUUGCCACCCCUCUAAAUCUUUAAAAAUUUGCCGUUCUGGACAACUGAACCUAAAACUCCUAUCUAAAUACGCCCCUGCAUAUGAUGCGUUCUCGCUUACGAUGUGGAUUAGGCCU